ensembl:lncRNA
UCUCUCUCUCUCUCUCUCUCUCUCUCUCUCUCUCUUCCCCCCUCUUCUCUCCUCUCAUCUUCCCUUAUAGUCAGUUGGUGAGUUGCCACGUUAAUUAACUGAAAAAAUCAACACCUAAAUGGUGGAAGAUGAUUAAAAAAAUAUUAUCCAACGAAUAACAGGAGGUGUCAGGCUUCCACUCGGCCGGAGCCAAAUUGCUUUUUAUGCUCCUGUGAGGGCAAAAAAGAUCUGUCAAUAUAUUUCUUGAAGAAUAAGAGUCGAUGGAUGAUCAUAAAAACAAUAGACCGGCUGUCUGGUCCAACCCCCCGUCUCUCUUAUGAGGGGUCUGCCAAAAACAUGACGCCUCUGUCUCAGCCCAGAACAUAACUUACGUUUUAUGAUCCGAGAAAGCUUAUGGCUUUGAGCUCGCUGCAGAAAGAAAACAUGAUGGGGGUCAGAGAGAGAGAGAGAGAGAGAGAGAUCAUAGCAAGGUUAUAUUUCUCAGUCCAUGCUUUGAGAAGUUUGGAACGACUUUUGAAUGGCUAAAUAACUUGAAGAUGUCAAACUAUUGCUCUUCAGCUUCAUAUGCUGUGCUUACCAACCUCCUCGCUGUAGAGCUAUCUCUUUGGUUAUAUAUAGCAGCCGGUGGCUCCUGGCGGUACUGCAGCACAGACACAAUGACUAGCGGCCUUUAUAGGAGAGAGAGAGAGAGAGAGAGGGGGAGAGGGAGAGAGAGAGAGGAAUGAGCGUCUCAGACAGACAGUAAGAGAGAGAGUAUGUAUGUUGUGGUUCUGUAGGAUAGAGACCCAGUUUCAGAGACCCAGCGUGGGAAUUGGUCAGCAUUUCCCCCAACCCAACCCACUUCCCUCUCUCUCCCCCCCUCGCUCUCUCUCUCUCUCCCCCUCUCUCUCUCUCUCUCUCCCCAAUGUGUAUUCUCCUGGUCAGAGACAUUCUCUCACUCCUCCUUUCUCAUGAGGUUUUUUCUUUCCCCUCCAAAAUUGCUUUGCGGACAUUUCUGAGAUGUUUCUUGUUCCAAAGACAAUAUUUGCAUAUCAUUUCCCCUCCCAAUUAUUAUUACUGUACUGUUC